rfam:Clostridium caminithermale DSM 15212 genome assembly, contig: EJ27DRAFT_scaffold00063.63
CGUUGAAUUGAAUAUAAACCGUAGACAGUAGGUGCUAACCUUAAGCUUAAAAUUUCCUACCGAGGUAAUUAAUGAUAAAUUUGAUUAUAAAACCUCUCUAUGUCUACGUAAGAGAGGUUUUUCUAUGGACGU